UCGACUACUGGUUUCGUCGUAUUUUUUUACUGUGCCUCGUUGGGUUUUUAGGGGAUCAGAAACGAUGAGAUCGGCUAGAAACGCGAGGACUUUGUUGCGUGUUAUUGCCGUUUUUCCCAAAGACCUCCCACUGUCCUUCUAACGAGACCACCAAAGGUACGGGGACUAAAAACAACGCAAGAAACCCACCAAAGUACGCUCUUUAUACGGGAUGUUUUAUAUCCGUAGCCAAUUGGAGUGAGUGCAGUCGCUCCAAUUAUGGACGAAUAUAUAAAGUCGAAUCCUGUCGGAUACCACGAUACCAUUGCGACCCUUUAUAUGGCAAAAACUAUAGAGAGCGCGAAGUCCAUCAUCGGGUUCAGCCUCGAAUUUACUGUUACAGUGCGGCGUCGCUUGCCAUCCGUGGAAAGGACAGCAUGAUCUAGAUGCUGCUUUUUGCCACUAGAGACGCUGCGAAUCGAGCGCAUUUGCGCCUCUACUCGCGACUUUCCAUUUCGAAUCGACGAAUUUUUCGGUAAAAAUUGAGCGUGAUGCCAAUGCUUUUAUUGUGUUAUCUCGUUUUUUGGAUUAUAAAAUAUCUAAGCUCUAAAUUGAAGCAAAGAGAAUUUUAUAUGAAUAUUCGGACAAGAAGUUGAAUUCGUGAAUGUGAAUUGAAUAGAAAGAAAAUUGAUUUAAAUUAGGUUAGGUUAAGAAAGAAGAAUGAAGUGAAUUUUUUAGUGAUUUUAUAGAUUCAAUUUAUUGUAUAUCUCGUUAUCAGGUCAUUUAUUGCCUUUAAAUUAAUUAGAUAAAAUCAUAGAUUCAGUAAAUUUGGUUAAUUUGUUGAUCUAAUUAUUCGUUACUGGCGAAUUUCGAUCUGAAUCGCGAACAGUGUCGAUUAUUCGUUCCGUUGUACCAAUCGUACUACAUUCAUGGAUCUGUUCUGCAAUUUGGUCUUGUUUCAAAUACAAAUAACAUGGUACAAUACCUCUAUCAAUAGAAUGAGAGUGUACGAAAUGAACAAUAGCCUGUUUUCCAAAAUAUUCCAUAUUCCAUUCGAAAAAGAUUUAUCGAAAUUUCGAAUCCAUUCAUCUCGAAUUAUAUCUCGGGAACGAGAAAAAUGGGAACAAUUCGAAGAGGAAGAGUAAAACCCGUGUUUCGUGAAUGAACUCGUUCUCGAAGCUUUGGCAAUUAAUAAAGGCGCGCCUUGUUUGCGAGCCAGGAUUCUCGUUCGUACACAAACGAGCAAGCGUGCGGCCGAAGUAACAUUUCAGGUUGCUCGGAGAGAGAGAGUAAAAGAAGUUGGCGGAAACCAUACAUUACAUAAUGAAUUCUUGUACACGCUCGGAUAAUCGUGUACAAUAAAAAAUCAUUCCACCGUCGCAUUGUUCAAGAAUUAAUUAAAAUGGCGCGAGAACAAACGGUCGGCCAGAAUUAUAAAAGGAGGAGGGACGGAGAAGAGUUUGCACCGGGACCGGAUAAAAUGCUGCAGCGGCUCCAACCUCGCGCAUCUUUUACGUAUGCACGAGCAUAAGCAUAACGCAGAGGAACAUGGGUAGAUGAUAUCGUGGAUGCACCUACGGGGCCACGGGGCGUCGACGCGACUCCUUUGUCCUCGUUCCUGGCCGCUCGUUCUUCUUGCCUGCAAACGCUUCGCCCCCGGACGACCUCUUGCCGCACACACAUUUUGUUCGCGGAAAUACCAAUCUCGUGCAUCAAUCCUGCUGGGUUUGAAGAAUUGUAUCAAAGAAACACGCUGCGUGCCAGCUACUGUAGCAUAAAGAUUAUCAUCUGAUCUCCUCGAGAUCUCUGAUACUGUUAUUUGGCGUAGUAAUAUUUUUUUUCCUUUUUCUUUUUUUUUUUCUUUUUUUUUCAGGUUUCCAGAGACACGAAUCCCUGGUAUCCACGCGGUUGUAAUUAUUUUAAUCGAGCUGAUCUCUCCGAUCGUGAUGACCCUUGUAAAUGGCGUUACAAAGUGCGCUUAAUGCACAUUCAUGGCCACGUUUAAACGGUGUUGUCAGUCGUUUCGAUGCAAUGAUCUUGGUCCAUUAAAAAUAUUGCAAGAAUUGCAUUUCGAUUGGAAAUGAUUCGAUCGUUGCGGAAUCUUUAAGAGGACCGAACUUAAUCAUUACUCGUCGUUUCAUUAGAAUAUAUGUCGAUAAAAGGGAUUUAAUUAUAAAGGCUUACCAUAACGCUUCCUGCCCGUGGAGACUCAUGUGCGUGCUACACGUAUACACUUAUUCCUUCUCGUCUUCCCUUUCUUCGUCUUUUGUAUUAUGUAUUUUUACACACGGUCGGUGAUUAGUAAGGCUAUUUUUUUCAUUACAAAACAUUGUUACCAAGAAUUGUUCUCAUUAUAGAAGUACAUCAUUAUCUGAAUAAUUUUGUUCAAGACUA